rnacentral:sRNA from 1 species
AUAAAGUCAAAGACUUCGGUGUUGUUAUAUGCGAAGCAAAUCUUAUAGCAUGCUCUUGCUUUAGCAGUAAAUUCAUAAAAGCAAUCCCGUGCAUUAAUCAUUUUAAUAUUUACCCUGGAGAAUUCUAAUAAGUGAUAGUACGAUAACUAAAAAUUUAUAACGUCACAAUGCUGAUAGUUGCUUAAAAUCGCGAUAUCAUGUAUGAGUUAGUA